AGUCCAAGGGGUCCAAACGAGCGGUUUAUUUAAUAAAUAUGUAUGAGCCGACUGUCUGUAAAUAAGACAACAAAUUCUAAAGAAAGUAAAACGCAGUCAUGAAUAAAAUUGUUUCUCAUUUGUUUAUAAUAGCUUAUGAUUUAUGGCACGCACAUGACGACAUAUCGAAGAAGUGACGUUUAUUCGAUUCAAAAUAGCGUGUAAAAAAACGGAGAACUGUAAAGUAAAAUAUGAAAGGUUCGAAGACCUUACAUAUUUUCUGUGUCAUUUUUCCAACCCUAAGGCCUAAUUGGUCGUGCCGUGCCUUUCGUCUGUGGAAUGUGCGGAGGGAUAUCGCUGUGGUCUCUGGGACAGCGUGAGUCGGCUGCAUGUGUGCUUUUCGCGAGUGCAACAGUGUAACUGUUUUUUCUUUUCUUCCCUCGCUGAAAGUGCCUCUCACUGCUCCAUAGUUACCAAGUGGCAUAAAUUCCGGUGACAACCGACCUGCUGUCGUAUGGUUACUGUAUUCAACCCAACCGAGGCACUUAAAAGACCCAGUGCUGUUCUUUUGUUUAAAACCUCGUUUUUUCCCCUCCUCCGGUGCUCCCUCCUCCUCCUCCUCUGGUCUCAUCUGCAGCUUCUCCUGCGGUUUUGUGGGAGCGCGCACUGGCGAGUGGGGACUUGUCCGGGAGCGCACGCGGGAAUGUUUCAGCGCUUACUCAGCACUGCUCGAGCCCGUGCAUUCAUCGGAGGAGUGAAAGACAAUUUAUUAUUGAAGCGGAAGGUGUUUAAGGGACGGUCUCCAGAGGCGCCUCUGUGUCGUGUUUUCACAGAAGGCUUUCUCUGAACGCUGCAAAAUGCACGAGGGCAUUUAAGUCUGCGUUUAAAUAAAUGAAACCAACGUUCCAUUAGUACGACUAUUUAAAAUUCUAUUUUAAACACCACGGGGCACAUAAAGCACCACUGGAAGCCACAAUAAUUCCCAGCUUGCACGUUGUAACACGUUUGUUUUAUUUUGGCUGUUAUCCUGAGAUCAAGCUGUGAUUAGUACAGUUGAGAAUAAACUUAAAGCGUAGCUUACUCAACAGGUGAAUCAGGCGAGUCUGUGUAGUAUUUAAUGUGACCAUAGCAUCAUCUACUGGUAAAAAUAAGUCGCCGGCUUCUAUUUUGAACGUUUUGCUUGCCGUAGUUGUGAGAAUCCAAAAUGGCAGCCUCCUUGAGGGCGUGUUGUUCCUCAGGUGAAGCAGUCAAUAUUAAGCAGAGUAUUUGUUUUAUGAGCCUGUCGUGCUUUGUAGCAAAAUAGAUGUUGUGUUAUUGAGUUCAGGAAUGCAUCUAAACGUUAUUCCAGUAAAAACACGACAUCAGCUGGCGUGCAAAUGAAUGUCUAUGGUGUUAAUACGAAGUAACAACGGAGUAGUGAACUGUUUUUAUGGGUCCUUUCUGUUUCUAAUGGGGAAUAUCUUUUUUCAUAUCACUUACAGUGUCGAGGCAGUCUAAACGCUCAUUUUCAUCGUCGUGUGUGACCCUUGCAGGAAAAGACUGCAGUUCGUUAUUAACAAAUUGUAUUUUAAAAAUGUUUUUGAGUUGACUACAUAAUAAUAAUACGAAGGGGAAAAAAGGAUUAAAUCAGAGUGUUGCAUGCAUUAGAUUCUAAUAACAAUGGUUAAUCUUGAUGCCAGUGGUUUGGGUGUUGUCUACAGAAAUGGUUUAGCACGUGGUGGAUCAGAAUAUGGACCAUUAACAGAUCUACCUGACUGUUUAUAUACGGGUGACAUUUAAUUUAUUUUCUUCAUAUACAUUAAUGCCAAAGGCAACAAUGGGGUGUUACACAGAUAUAUUUUGCUUCUCAAUUCUUUUGUAUGCAUCAGUUCUAUAGUAUUUGUAAAAACAUACUGUCAACAAUGAAUCUGUGAAUGCAAAUAUGAGUGCUGAAAAGGAUUUCAUUUAUUAUGUGAUUUUCAGAUGGAAGUCCUGCUCCUCCACUGAAAGGACAUAUCCACAGACAAAUGCAAAGAGAGGAGGUUGCUUUAAGACUCUUACGAUUUUCUUUUUACCAGAGAACCUUGAAGAGUCUUGAAAUAUAUCCUCGGGUCUUCAGUCUGAGAGGAGAUCACACAUGAUUGUAUGUCACUGUAGGACUUGAUUUCUGAUCUUCCAGAAACUGAAUGCCAUAUUUCAAAUAUCUGGGGAGUUUUCUCUCUGAGGAUAGCGGCAUCGACAAUUAAAUCCAGAGCCGAAUCAAACAGGCAUCAGUUGCCUUUGGGAGACUUUGAUGUAGAGUCUUUCAUUAUAAAAACCUUCAUCCUUCCACAAAGGUCGCCGUAUACCAAGCUGUCUGUGUCACCACCCUCCUUUAUAGCUGUGAAGCAUGGGUAACCUACUGCUGUCACAUCAAGACCUUAGAGCACUUCCACAUAAGCUGCCUCCAGCGCCUACUGGGAAUUACCUGGCGUAAUCAUGUGCCUCACACUGAAAUACUUAAAAAGAUUUACUGUGGAAGUAUUGAGGCAUUAUUACCCAGCGUCAACUGCAUUGGGUGGGGCAUGUGAUAAGGAUGCCCCUAUGUAGGCUGCCCCUCAGAGUACUAUAUGGCCAGUUACAUCAUGGUCGAUGCUCAGCUGGGGGUCUGAAGAAGCGCUAUAAAGAUCAGAUGAAGAACGCCUUGAGAAAGUGUAAGAUCAGAGCUGAGGAUCUGGAAGAUGUUGCUGCUGACCGCACGAUCUGGCGACAGCUAUGUGGAGAUGGGGUUUUUACACUAGAGUGGGAGAGGACAACCAGAAGACAGCAAAAGCGAGCCAGGGAAAUGCAGCCAUAGCUGCCACUGUGACCACCAUCACAUACGUAUGCCCCACCUGCAAUAGAGCUUGUGGUUCCAGGAUAGGACUGUUCAGCCAUCAAAGAUCUCCCCAUUAAAGGCGUGGACGUCAUCAUCGGAUAUCGAUGGACAACUGAAGAAGUGUGUAGGCACAUCACUGAUUUGUUGACUCCUCCCUCUUUUUGUGACAGGCAUCAGUGUAUCUUGCUGCUAGUAAGAAACAAUCUUGUUUUUCACCUAAUAAAUAUUGAAGUUGUGUUUUAUUGUUUAA